rnacentral:rRNA from 1 species
AGUGGCGCACGGGUGAGUAACGCGUGGGUAUCUGCCCUUAGGUCUGGAAUAACUUGUCGAAAGACAAGCUAAUACCAGAUGAUAUUGUAAAAUCAAAGCCGUAAGGUGCCUAAGGAUGAGCCCGCGUCCCAUUAGCUAGUUGGUGGGGUAAUGGCCUACCAAGGCGACGAUGGGUAGCUGGUCUGAGAGGAUGAUCAGCCACACUGGAACUGAAACACGGUCCAGACUCCUACGGGAGGCAGCAGUGAGGAAUAUUGCGCAAUGGGAGCAAUCCUGACGCAGCAACGCCGCGUGAGUGACGAAGGCCUUCGGGUUGUAAAGCUCUGUUGAGAGGGAAGAAUUUUGACGGUACCUCUCGAGGAAGCACCGGCUAACUCCGUGCCAGCAGCCGCGGUAAUACGGAGGGUGCAAGCGUUGUUCGGAAUCACUGGGCGUAAAGCGGGUGUAGGCGGUUUAUUAAGUCAGAUGUGAAAGCCCAAGGCUUAACCAUGGAAGUGCAUCUGAAACUGAUAGGCUAGAGUUCUAGAGAGGAAAGUGGAAUUCCUGGUGUAGGAGUGAAAUCCGUAGAUAUCAGGAGGAAUACCAGUGGCGAAGGCGACUUUCUGGAUAGAUACUGACGCUAAGACCCGAAAGCGUGGGGAGCAAACAGGAUUAGAUACCCUGGGUAGUCCACGCCCUAAACGAUGGAUACUAUGUGCAGGGGGUAUCAACUCCUCCUGUGCCGUCGCUAACGCAUUAAGUAUCCCGCCUGGGGAGUAUGGGCCGCAAAGGUUGAAACUCAAAAGGAAUUGACGGGGGCCCGCACAAGCGGUGGAGCAUGUGGUUUAUUCGACGCAACGCGAGAACCUUUACCUGGGGUUGACAUCCCGA